UGUGGGAGCGAGCUUGCUCGCGAUGGCGGUGGGUCAGUCAACAUUGAUGUUGAGUGUGAUGCCGCUAUCGCGAGCAAGCUCGCUCCCACA
rnacentral:misc_RNA from 1 species